CACAUCUGGCGGCCUGGCUCGCGCUUCCGGGAUGGGCGCCGCGUUACGUCACUACGCAACGUCCUCCGCGCCUUCCGUCAAGGCGCCGACGAGAGUGCGUGACCCCGCAGCAGGAAGGGGUGGGACCACUCGCCCCAGGUGCAUGAGUGGUGUCUGUGAAGUCCUGAAGAGGGAGUCGGUUUCCCUGGAACUGAAUGAUUGGGAGUCUCCUUAUGGGUGCUAGGAAUCAAACCAUGUUCUCUGCAAGAACAAGCGCUCUUAACCACUGAGUCAACUUCCAGCACCUAAUUUUUUGUUUGUCUUUUUUUUUUUUUUGUUUCAAAGACAAGGUGACAUGCAGCCCAGACUGGUUUCCAACUUUUCAUAAGGUCACCGUUAAACUUCUGCUUCUCCUGCUUCUACUUCCUGAUAUGACAGAUGUAUGCCCCCCAUGUGUGACUUUCAAGUUUUUGAGACAUCUCUAGCACAGGCUUCCCUGGUGCACACUAUUGUGAGAAACAAACCCCACUCUGUAAUAAAAAGACAAGCUAGUAAAAGAGAAGCAA